rnacentral:rRNA from 1 species
GUUAGGAAUAUUGGACAAUGGGCGCAAGCCUGAUCCAGCCAUGCCGCGUGAGUGAUGAAGGCCUUCGGGUUGUAAAGCUCUUUAGUCCACGAAUAUAAUGACUGUAGUGGAAGAAUAAGCCCCGGCUAACUUCGUGCCAGCAGCCGCGGUAAUACGAAGGGGGCGAGCGUUAUUCGGAAUCACUGGGCGUAAAGCGUGCGUAGGCUGUUUUGUAAGUGAGAAGUGAAAGCCCAGGGCUUAACCCUGGAAUUGCUUUUGAAACUACAAGACUCGAAUUCGGGAGAGGAUAGCGGAAUUGUCAGUGUAGCAGUGAAAUGCGUAGAUAUUGACAGGAACACCAGUGGCGCAAGCGGCUAUCUGGACCGAUAUUGACGCUGAGGCACGAAAGCGUGGGGAGCAAACAGGAUUAGAUACCCCAGUAGUCC